GUGGGGAAUCUUCCGCAAUGGACGAAAGUCUGACGGAGCGACGCCGCGUGAGUGAAGAAGGCCUUCGGGUCGUAAAGCUCUGUCAUCAGGGACGAACGGCCGGUGGAGUGGAAAGCCACCGGAUUGACGGUACCUGAGAAGGAAGCCACGGCUAACUACGUGCCAGCAGCCGCGGUAAUACGUAGGUGGCAAGCGUUGUCCGGAAUUAUUGGGCGUAAAGCGCGCGCAGGUGGGAUCUUAAGUCCAUUUUUAAAGUUCGGAGCUCAACUCCGUGAUGGGACGGAAACUGGGAUUCUUGAGUACCGGAGAGGAAAGCGGAAUUCCCCGUGUAGCGGUGAAAUGCGUAGAUAUGGGGAGGAACACCAGUGGCGAAGGCGGCUUUCUGGACGGUGUCUGACACUGAGGCGCGAAAGCCAGGGGAGCGAACGGGAUUAGAUACCCGUGUAGUCC
rnacentral:rRNA from 1 species